rnacentral:rRNA from 1 species
UCAAGAAUCUUCCUCAAUGGCCGAAAGGCUGAAGGAGCGACGCCGCGUGCAGGAUGAAGGCCUUCGGGUUGUAAACUGCUUUUAUCAGGGACGAAUUCGUGACGGUACCUGAUGAAUAAGAGGUUGCUAACUCUGUGCCAGCAGCAGCGGUAAUACAGAGACCUCAAGCAUUAUCCGGAUUUAUUGGGCGUAAAGCGUCCGCAGGUGGUUUGGCCAGUUGGGGGUUAAAAUCUCGAGCUUAACUCGAGAAUCGCCUUCAAUACUACCAAACUCGAGGGUGGAAGAGGUGAGCGGAAUUCUCGGUGUAGUCGUAAUAAGCGUUGAUAUCGAGAAGAACACCAAAUGCGAAGGCAGCUCACUAGUACACUCCUGACACUCAGGGACGAAAGCGUGGGGAGCAAACAGG